rnacentral:rRNA from 1 species
ACACCGGCAGCCCAAGUGGUGGCCAUUUUUAUUGGGCCUAAAGCGUUCGUAGCCGGCCUGAUAAGUCUCUGGUGAAAUCCCGCAGCUUAACUGUGGGAAUUGCUGGAGAUACUAUCAGGCUUGAGGUCGGGAGAGGUUAGAGGUACUCCCAGGGUAGGGGUGAAAUCCUAUAAUCCUGGGUGGACCACCUGUGGCGAAGGCGUCUAACGGGAACGAACAUGACGGUGAGUAACGCAAGCCAGGGGCGCGAACCGGAUUAGAUUCCCGGGUAGUCCUGGCCGUAAACGAUGUGGACGUGGUGUUGGGAUGGCCUCGAGCUGCCCCAGUGCCGAAGGGAAGCUGUUAAGUCCACCGCCUGGGAAGUACGGUCGCAAGACUGAAACUCAAAUGAAUUGACGGGG